GAGGAGGGGAAGGCAGGAAGGAGGAGAGAGGAGGGGAAAAAAAGGCACCGCGGCAGAGGCGCCGGCAGCGCGGAGAAGGGUCGGCGGCCGGCGGGCACCCCCGCACCCAUCAGCCGGAUCAAGACUCCGUGUGGAUUAAAACCAUUGGGAAGAAGGAGGAAAAAAAAAACCAAACCAAAACCAACCAAAAACCAAAAAAAA